GGUUGGUGAGACGGCUCAGUGGUUAAGAGCACUGACUACUCUUCCAAAGGUCCUGAGUUCAAAUCCCAGCAACCA
rnacentral:tRNA from 1 species